GAUGAACGCUAGCGGCAGGCUUAACACAUGCAAGUCGAGGGGUAGAGGAAGCUUGCUUCCUUGAGACCGGCGCACGGGUGCGUAACGCGUAUACAAUCUACCUUUUACAGAGGGAUAGCCCAGAGAAAUUUGGAUUAAUACCUCAUAGUAUUUUCGGAUCGCAUGAUUUGAUUAUUAAAGUUCCAACGGUAAAAGAUGAGUAUGCGUCCCAUUAGCUAGAUGGUAAGGUAACGGCUUACCAUGGCGAUGAUGGGUAGGGUCCUGAGAGGAGAUCCCCCANACGUGGUACUGAGACACGGACCAGACUCCUACGGGAGCAGCAGUGAGGAAUAUU
rnacentral:rRNA from 1 species